rnacentral:rRNA from 1 species
UACGUAGGGUCCGAGCGUUGUCCGGAAUUAUUGGGCGUAAAGGGCUCGUAGGCGGUUUGUCGCGUCGGGAGUGAAAACCAUGAGCUUAACUCAUGGCUUGCUUCCGAUACGGGCAGACUAGAGGUAUGCAGGGGAGAAUGGAAUUCCUGGUGUAGCGGUGAAAUGCGCAGAUAUCAGGAGGAACACCGGUGGCGAAGGCGGUUCUCUGGGCAUUACCUGACGCUGAGGAGCGAAAGUGUGGGGAGCGAAC